rnacentral:rRNA from 1 species
AGGACGAACGCUGGCGGCGUGCUUAACACAUGCAAGUCGAGCGGAAAGGCCCUUCGGGGUACUCGAGCGGCGAACGGGUGAGUAACACGUGAGCAACCUGCCCCUGGCUCUGGGAUAGCCUCCGGAAACGGGGAUUAAUACCGGACAUGACCUCUGACCGCAUGGUUGGGGGUGGAAAGUUUUUCGGCCAGGGUGGGGCUCGCGGCCUAUCAGCUUGUUGGGGGGGUGACGGCCCACCAAGGCGACGACGGGUAG